GCGUUGCUCGGAAUCACUGGGCGUAAAGGGCGCGUAGGCGGCGUUUUAAGUCGGGGGUGAAAGCCUGUGGCUCAACCACAGAAUGGCCUUCGAUACUGGGACGCUUGAGUAUGGUAGAGGUUGGUGGAACUGCGAGUGUAGAGGUGAAAUUCGUAGAUAUUCGCAAGAACACCGGUGGCGAAGGCGGCCAACUGGACCAUUACUGACGCUGAGGCGCGAAAGCGUG
rnacentral:rRNA from 1 species